rnacentral:rRNA from 1 species
AUUGAACGCUGGCGGCAGGCCUAACACAUGCAAGUCGAACGGUAACAGGAAGCAGCUUGCUGCUUCGCUGACGAGUGGCGGACGGGUGAGUAAUGUCUGGGAAGCUGCCUGAUGGAGGGGGAUAACUACUGGAAACGGUAGCUAAUACCGCAUAAUGUCGCAAGACCAAAGAGGGGGACCUUCGGGCCUCUUGCCAUCGGCUGUGCCCAGAUGGGAUUCGCUUGUUGGUGGGGUAACGGCUCACCAAGGCGACGAUCCCUAGCUGGUCUGAGAGGAUGACCAGCCACACUGGAACUGAGACACGGUCCAGACUCCUACGGGAGGCAGCAGUGGGGAAUAUUGCACAAUGGGCGCAAGCCUGAUGCAGCCAUGCCGCGUGUAUGAAGAAGGCCUUCGGGUUGUAAAGUACUUUCAGCGGGGAGGAAGGGAGUAAAGUUAAUACCUUUGCUCAUUGACGUUACCCGCAGAAGAAGCACCGGCUAACUCCGUG